UACGUAGGGUGCGAGCGUUAAUCGGAAUUACUGGGCGUAAAGCGUGCGCAGGCGGCGGCUCAAGUCAGGUGUGAAAUCCCCGGGCUUAACCUGGGAACUGCGUUUGAAACUACAAGGCUAGAGUGUGGCAGAGGGGGGUGGAAUUCCACGUGUAGCAGUGAAAUGCGUAGAGAUGUGGAGGAACACCGAUGGCGAAGGCAGCCCCCUGGGUUAACACUGACGCUCAGGCACGAAAGCGUGGGGAGCAAACAGG
rnacentral:rRNA from 1 species